UGGGGAAUUUGGACAAUGGGCGAAAGCCUGAUCCAGCAAUGCCGCGUGUGUGAAGAAGGCCUUCGGGUUGUAAAGCACUUUUGUCCGGAAAGAAAUCCUUGGCUCUAAUACAGUCGGGGGAUGACGGUACCGGAAGAAUAAGCACCGGCUAACUACGUGCCAGCAGCCGCGGUAAUACGUAGGGUGCAAGCGUUAAUCGGAAUUACUGGGCGUAAAGCGUGCGCAGGCGGUUUGCUAAGACCGAUGUGAAAAUCCCCGGGCUCAACCUGGGAACUGCAUUGGUGACUGGCAGGCUAGAGUAUGGCAGAGGGGGGUAGAAUUCCACGUGUAGCAGUGAAAUGCGUAGAGAUGUGGAGGAAUACCGAUGGCGAAGGCAGCCCCCUGGGCAAUACUGACGCUCAUGCACGAAAGCGUGGGGAGCAAACAGGAUUAGAUACCCUGGUAGUCCACGCCCU
rnacentral:rRNA from 1 species